rnacentral:rRNA from 1 species
GCUUGUCUCAAAGAUUAAGCCAUGCAUGUCUAAGUAUAAACUCGUUUGUACUGUGUGAAACUGCGAAUGGCUCAUUAAAUCAGUUAUAGUUUAUUUGAUAUAACCUUACUACUUGGAUAUCCGUGGUAAUUCUAGAGCUAAUACAUGCAAUAAAAUCCUGACUUCUGGAAGGGAUGUAUUUAUUAGAUAAAAAACCAACCCGGCAACGGUUCUUUGGUGAUUCAUAGUAACUUUUCGAAUCGCAUGACUUUACGUCGGCGAUGGUUCAUUCAAAUUUCUGCCCUAUCAAGUUUCGAUGGUAGGAUAGAGGCCUACCAUGCUUUUUACGGGUAACGGCGAAUUAGGGUUCGAUUCCGGAGAGGGAGCCUGAGAAACGGCUACCACAUCUAAGGAAGGCAGCAGG